GUCAAAGGCACCCUCGAUAUCUAAGAAAACACCCAGUGUUCUGGCAGCACUGCAUGAGUGCCGGUUGCCACAAGAUAUGCGUUCGGUCGAUGAGGCAUUUGGUAAGUGUCGGUUGACAGACGUCAAAAUGACAGGAGCAUAAAUGUCAGGAGUGAGUAAGAAGGAAAGACGUCAACCUAAAACUGUAAAUAAUAACAUAAGAAGUAGCGUAAUAAAAUGAAAUCCUUGUAAAUAGAAGUUUGAUAAGAGUGAAGACGAAAGUGCGCGAGUUUCUAUUAGUUGAAUUUGGUUGGAGAUUAGCUCCAUUUCGAAUUAGUUCCGUGAGUGUUAGAAUCACACAAGGUGGUAGACCCGUUUCAACACCAGGAGAUUGUAAGUGAGACAAAAUUGUGUGGUUCAAAGGACCACUAUUUACAUGUUAUCCCAAUCCGUAGUAAUUGCUGAGCUGCGGUGAAUCGAAGCGAAUUCCAAGGCACAGACAGGCAGGACAGAAAAACAUCGGUAGGACAGAGACUCCGCUCGGAUAAGAUUAGGAAGACGCACACGACGGGACAGAUCCAACGGCACAGUGUAGAAAAUUGCGCUUACUGUGGCCAAAAUUUGUGGUUGCGUUGCCCCUUCGGAAAGUAGGAAGGAAAGCCAGGAAGGAGGAAAAUCAAACUAAAAUUUUUGAUCUGCCAUAACGUAAAACGGCUGAUUUUCAAAAACGGUUUGUUGAUCCGAAAUUCCGACCCGAACA